AAUAUUGCACAAUGGGGGAAACCCUGAUGCAGCAACGCCGCGUGAAGGAUGAAGGUUUUCGGAUCGUAAACUUCUAUCAGUAGGGACGAAAGAAAUGACGGUACCUGCAGAAUAAGCACCGGCUAACUACGUGCCAGCAGCCGCGGUAAUACGUAGGGGGCAAGCGUUGUCCGGAAUUACUGGGCGUAAAGGGUGCGUAGGCGGCCGAUUAAGUCAGAUGUGAAAUACCACGGCUCAACUGUGGGGGUGCAUAUGAAACUGGUUGGCUUGAGUGCAGGAGAGGAAAGUGGAAUUCCUAGUGUAGCGGUGAAAUGCGUAGAGAUUAGGAGGAACACCAGUGGCGAAGGCGGCUUUCUGGACUGUAACUGACGCUGAGGCACGAAAGCGUGGGGAGCAAACA
rnacentral:rRNA from 1 species